UAGGGAAUAUUGGACAAUGGGUGAGAGCCUGAUCCAGCCAUGCCGCGUGCAGGAAGAAGGCGUUAUGCGUUGUAAACUGCUUUUUGCCAGGGGAUAAAAUGACCGUGCGCGGUUAAUUGAAGGUACCUGGUGAAUAAGCCACGGCUAACUACGUGCCAGCAGCCGCGGUAAUACGUAGGUGGCAAGCGUUGUCCGGAUUUAUUGGGUUUAAAGGGUGCGUAGGUGGCCCUGUAAGUCAGUGGUGAAAUAUCUCAGCUUAACUGAGAGGGUGCCAUUGAUACUGCAGGGCUUGAGUACAGAUGAGGUAGGCGGAAUUGACGGUGUAGCGGUGAAAUGCAUAGAUAUCGUCAAGAACACCGAUAGCGAAGGCAGCUUACCAAGCUGUAACUGACACUGAGGCACGAAAGUGUGGGGAUCAAACAGGAUUAGAUACCCGGGUAGUCCCUGAGCGGGCUGGCAAGGCGCAU
rnacentral:rRNA from 1 species